rnacentral:rRNA from 2 species
CAGCCGCCGCGGUAAAACCAGCACCUCAAGUGGUCAGGAUGAUUAUUGGGCCUAAAGCAUCCGUAGCCGGCUCUGUAAGUUUUCGGUUAAAUCUGUAUGCUCAACAUACAGGCUGCCGGGAAUACUGCAGAGCUAGGGAGUGGGAGAGGUAGACGGUACUCGAUAGGAAGGGGUAAAAUCCUUUGAUCUAUUGAUGACCACCUGUGGCGAAGGCGGUCUACCAGAACACGUCCGACGGUGAGGGAUGAAAGCUGGGGGAGCAAACCGGAUUAGAUACCCGGGUAGUCCCAGCUGUAAACUAUGCAAACUCAGUGAUGCAUUGGCUUGUGGCCAAUGCAGUGCUGCAGGGAAGCCGUUAAGUUUGCCGCCUGGGAAGUACGUACGCAAGUAUGAAACUUAAAGGAAUUGGCGGGGGAGCAC